UUUUAUUUCUCUAUCGUCGUCCAUGCAUGCUUUUGUAAGCUAGGUGGCUCGUCUUCGCCAUCGUUAACUUUGAAAAUGCCUGUUUUACUACGCUUGCUAUCGUGGACGAAAAUAUGUUAAAAAACUAGCCAAAGCCCUUCGGAAUGGUUCUUAUCACUAGCGUUCCCUCGCCAGGGUUUCUUUAUAGCUAGGGUUUCCCGAUUACUGGAGUUUCUUGCUGACCAGGGUAUCUUGAACAUUCUUCUGGGCCGUCUUACUUUCGUGUUUCUAUUUUUAACUAUAAGUUUUUUCAGCAUCCAUUUUUUAAGUUGGCGUUCACAAGUCUGUAUCAUUGCAUUUUGGAAUUGCUUCAAGGAUAUUAAAAACCUGUCUGGUUUAGUGUUCUUGUUUACGCUCAGUUUCUGACAUAUCUGGUUUCUAGUUUUGUCAAGUAGUAGAGAUUCUACGAUAGCCAGCACAGCUAUUUCUCUGUUGUCUCCCAGCCUGCUGCUGGGGAAGGCUCUCACAACAUAAAUGGUCAAGGGGAAGUUUCUAGGCUCAUGUGUAAUCCACGUCAAAGUGAAAUAAUACUAUAUCAAAAUUAAAACAUGAGUUCAAUUCCUUGCAUGCUAAUAGUGGCGCUGCGCCCUUACCCAAAUGCUCUAUUUAGGAGUGUAAAUGAGCCGAGCCAGCUUGCGAGCUAGCUCGAGCUCAACUCGUUUAUGGGCUUGCGAGCCGAGCUUAUCGAGCUCACGAGUCGAACUCGAGCUUAAAUUCGAGCUUGUUUAUUAACCCAGCUUGAGUUCGAGCUUGAUUGAGGCUCGGCUCUCAAGCUCACGAGUCGGCUCGAUUCACUAUUAUGAUUUUUAAAAUAUUUUUUAUUUUUAAAAUACCCGGCUAAUCAGCCUAAUACCAGCCUAAUAAAAGCGUAAUAAUAGCCUAAUCUUGCCUACUUGAGGCGGACAACGCUCGAGCCUCGAGGUGCUCGCGCCAGUCGCGUGGCUCGAGGAGGUCGCGUCAAUCGGCGGCUCAAGCUUGGACGGCGGGACGACGCGGAUGACACGUAAGCGGAUCGGCGAAUUCGACUCGGAUGACGCGUAAGCAAAUGGAUGACGUAGACAUUGACGGCGGGGCGAUGUAGACGCGGAGGCUAGACGAGCGGCUCGAACUCAUUUACAAUGGAAUGAGUCGAGCUCAACUCGAGCUUGCUUUCAGAUUGAUGAGCUAAGCUCGAUUAUGUCAAAACUCAACUCAUUUACACACCUAGCUCUAUUCACGCAAAGCUCCGUAAAACUACAUUGAGCUAGAACCCCAGUUUCUUCUAUUUAUUCCAGCUGAGGCGUGCCUGCAUUCUCAACACGUUGCUUAAUUUUGCCGUUACAGUAGUUUUGGUUUGUUUUGUUCACAAUUUAGGUAUGCCAUACAUAAAAUUCAUUUGGAUUUUCAGCACUUGUGAUUUACGGGCAGUUACAGACUAAAAAGGUCAUUUCUUACGCGCGUUGGGAUUCACACAAGUUCUCUUUACAUGUAAUGAUGACCUUUUAACUUGUUGCUGGUGAUCUUAGUUUCAGUUUCAUAUGUGAGAAUUUGGUCAUUGUGUUAAUUGUUCCAUGUUGGAGGAUUAUAUACGAUGAUUCAACUAUACUUUUAACAGGUUUGCAUAUCUUUUUUGUUGUAAAAUUUCUAAAAAAUGUGAUACUUAUUUGAUUUCCUUAAGAGUUUAUAGUCA